CCCAAAGUGCUGGGAUUACAGGUGUGAGCCACCGUGCCCAGCCUUUAUACGUAUUAAACUCUUUUAAUCCUCAAAACGACUUUAUUAGGUAGGACUAUAAGUUUCAUCUUAGAGAUGAGGAAACUGAGGCUCAGAAAGGUUAAGUAACCUGUGCAAAGUCACACAGCUAGUAAUUCAGACAUCUUGCACCAGAGCUAACCCUCGGUCACUGCACUGCCUCUGAGGUCUGAAGUGCCCCCAGUUAUAGAUUGUUUAAGCUAGAGGAUUAUCUACCAUCCAAUAAUCAGACUGGUAGCUAUGGGUCAUCUAGGAUGGCCAGAAACUUAACACACAUUCUCAAGAUUCUCCCUUGCAACCACCCUGGGUAGUGGGCAGAGGCUCAGAGAGAAGCAAUGACUCCCUAAGGUUCCCCAGGCUCAUAAGUGGUGGAGUUGCAAUUAGACCUCAAGGUAAAAACAUAAUAGCCGCCUUUUUGUCAAUCGAGAGAUAUUUUUGACUUACCCAAAAAAGGAAACUUUCGUGUCAUUCUUUCCUUGGAUGCCACAAAUGGUUCUCACCUGCAGAAUCGAUCCAGACUUGCUGCCCAGAGAGCUUGGAGAGAUAAAGCUGGAGAUGAAGUGGGGCUUAGGCUCCAAACCAGGGACAAGUGGAGCUCGUACUGGACCUCAGGCCUAGUUCCUGUGUGGCCUUGCCAGGGAGGUGGAUGUUAUCCUGAAGAAUCCUGGACCCGGAUGCUGCCAUUCACUCAGCCCACAGCCAUUUACUGUCCUCUCUCCUGCAUUGAGAGCCAGGGAGAGCGCUGGACAUGGGCCCCGCCCUCAGGGAGCUCCAAGCCAGGUGGGAGAGACAGGCAGCACCAGACUGAUAACAGGAAGGUCCAGGGAGGCACCACUCAUCCUGUGGGCUCGGGAAGGCUUCCUGAAAGAAGUGGUUUCUAAAGAGCCCUAAUGGGAGACAGGAUGGCCAUCCAGGAUAUAAGCUGUUCUGUGAGGCUGUCUGGAGAGUGGGGUGGGGCGUGCCAAGGGAUGUGGC
rnacentral:lncRNA from 1 species